GGGAGAGGAAGAGAACCGCAGCGCAGGAUUUUCAUUUGGGGAAAAUUAAAUAGCCUGGUACUUUAGUGAUCAAUAGCAGCAAGAAUUACCCUGAAGACUUGUGCAAACGAAUUGAGAAGGAAAUAUGUCUAAACAAAGGUGAUACGUGUGAGGAAGAGAUGAACCAA